ensembl:lncRNA
GGAGAGAGAGACAGAAUGAGACACAUGCAGAGGGAGAGAGAGAGAGAGAGACAGAAUGAGACACAGGCAGAGGGAGAGAGAGAGAGAGACAGAAUGAGACACAGGCAGAGGGAGAGAGACAGAGAGAGACAGAAUGAGACACAUGCAGAGAGAGAGCGACAGAAUGAGACACAGGCAGAGGGAGAGAGAGAGAGAGAGAGCGACAGAAUGAGACACAUGCAGAGGGAGAGAGAGAGAGACAGAAUGAGACACAGGUAGAGGGAGAGAGCGAGUGACAGAAUGAGACACAGGCAGAGGGAGAGAGCGAGUGACAGAAUGAGACACAGGCAGAGGGAGAGAGCGAGAGAGAGAGAGAAUGAGACACAGGCAGAGAGAGAAAGAUUAAUGACAGCCCG